UACGUAGGUGGCGAGCGUUGUCCGGAUUUACUGGGCGUAAAGGGAGCGUAGGCGGACUUUUAAGUGAGAUGUGAAAUACUCGGGCUCAACUUGAGUGCUGCAUUUCAAACUGGAAGUCUAGAGUGCAGGAGAGGAGAAUGGAAUUCCUAGCGUAGCGGUGAAAUGCGUAGAGAUUAGGAAGAACACCAGUGGCGAAGGCGGUUCUCUGGACUGUAACUGACGCUGAGGCUCGAAAGCGUGGGGAGCAAACAGG
rnacentral:rRNA from 1 species